rnacentral:rRNA from 1 species
UGCUUAACACAUGCAAGUCGAACGGCAGCAUGACCUAGCUUGCUAGGUUGAUGGCGAGUGGCGAACGGGUGAGUAACGCGUAGGAAUAUGCCUUAAAGAGUGGGACAACUUGGGGAAACUCAAGCUAAUACCGCAUAAGCUCUGAGGAGUAAAGCUGGGGACCUUCGGGCCUGGCGCUUUAAGAUUAGCCUGCGUCCGAUUAGCUAGUUGGUGAGGUAAGGGCUUACCAAGGCGACGAUCGGUAGCUGGUCUGAGAGGAUGACCAGCCACACUGGGACUGAGACACGGCCCAGACUCCUACGGGAGGCAGCAGUGGGGAAUAUUGGACAAUGGGGGGAACCCUGAUCCAGCAAUGCCGCGUGUGUGAAGAAGGCCUGAGGGUUGUAAAGCACUUUCAGUGGGGAGGAGUGAACAUUCGGUUAAGAGCUAGAUGUUUGGACGUUACCCACAGAAGAAGCACCGGCUAACUCCGUGCCAGCAGCCGCGGUAAUACGGAGGGUGCGAGCGUUAAUCGGAAUUACUGGG